GAUGAAGAACGUAGUGAAAUGCGAUAAGUAAUGUGAAUUGCAGAAUUCAGUGAAUCAUCGAAUCUUUGAACGCACAUUGCACCUCUCGGUAUUCCGGGAGGUAUGCCUGUUCGAGCGUCAUUUGUACCCUCAAGCUCUGCUUGGUGUUGGGUGUUUGUUCCGCCUCUGUGUGUGAACUCGCCUCAAAACAAUUGGCAGCCGGCGUACUUGUUUCGGAGCGCAGCACAUUUUGCGAUCCAGAUCAACGUACAGCGGCAUCCAAGAAGCCUUAUUUAACGCUCUUGACCUCGGAUCAGGUAGGGAUACCCGCUGAACUUAAGCAUAUCAAUAAGCGGAGGA
rnacentral:misc_RNA from 1 species